AUUGAACGCUGGCGGAAUGCUUUACACAUGCAAGUCGAACGGUAGAGGGGGCAACCCCUCGAGAGUGGCGAACGGGUGAGUAAUAUAUCGGAACGUGCCCAGUCGUGGGGGAUAACGUAGCGAAAGUUACGCUAAUACCGCAUACGAUCUAAGGAUGAAAGCGGGGGAUCGCAAGACCUCGCGCGAUUGGAGCGGCCGAUAUCAGAGUAGGUAGUUGGUGGGGUAAAGGCUCACCAAGCCAACGAUCUGUAGCUGGUCUGAGAGGACGACCAGCAACACUGGAACUGAGACACGGUCCAGACUCCUACGGGAGGCAGCAGUGGGGAAUUUUGGACAAUGGACGCAAGUCUGAUCCAGCCAUUCCGCGUGCAGGAUGAAGGCCUUCGGGUUGUAAACUGCUUUUGUACGGAACGAAAAGGUCUCUCUUAAUACGGGGGGCUCAUGACGGUACCGUAAGAAUAAGCACCGGCUAACUACGUGCCAGCCGCCGCCGUAA
rnacentral:rRNA from 1 species